UACGUAGGGCGCAAGCGUUGUCCGGAAUUAUUGGGCGUAAAGAGCUCGUAGGCGGCCUGUUGCGUCCGCUGUGAAAUCCCGGGGCUCAACCCCGGGCUUGCAGUGGAUACGGGCUGGCUAGAGGCAGGCAGGGGAGAACGGAAUUCCCGGUGUAGCGGUGAAAUGCGCAGAUAUCGGGAGGAACACCGGUGGCGAAGGCGGUUCUCUGGGCCUUACCUGACGCUGAGGAGCGAAAGCGUGGGGAGCGAACAGG
rnacentral:rRNA from 1 species